GGGCGGGUAGCGUAGUAGUCAGCGCAUUCCCUAAGCGUAUUCCUUCCUAAGCGAUUUCCAGCGUUGGCUUGUUCUCUUCUUUAAAAAUAGCGUUCAUUGAAAGACCUGGGUUCAAAUCCCAGCCCGUCCA